GGGUUGUGAGGUUAAGCGACUAAGCGUACACGGUGGAUGCCCUGGCAGUCAGAGGCGAUGAAGGACGUGCUAAUCUGCGAAAAGCGCCGGCGAGGUGAUAUGAACCCUUGACCCGGCGAUGUCCGAAUGGGGAAACCCAGUGUGAUUCGUCACACUAUCGUUAACUGAAUACAUAGGUUAACGAGGCGAACCGGGGGAACUGAAACAUCUAAGUACCCCGAGGAAAAGAAAUCAACCGAGAUUCCCCCAGUAGCGGCGAGCGAACGGGGAGCAGCCCAGAGUCUGAAUCAGCUUGUGUGUUAGUGGAAGCGUCUGGAAAGUCGCACGGUACAGGGUGACAGUCCCGUACACGAAAAUGCACAGGCUGUGAACUCGAAGAGUAGGGCGGGACACGUGGUAUCCUGUCUGAAUAUGGGGGGACCAUCCUCCAAGGCUAAAUACUCCUGACUGACCGAUAGUGAACCAGUACCGUGAGGGAAAGGCGAAAAGAACCCCGGCGAGGGGAGUGAAAAAGAACCUGAAACCGUGUACGUACAAGCAGUGGGAGCACCUUCGGGUGUGACUGCGUACCUUUUGUAUAAUGGGUCAGCGACUUAUAUUCUGUAGCAAGGUUAACCGUAUAGGGGAGCCGAAGGGAAACCGAGUCUUAACUGGGCGUUAAGUUGCAGGGUAUAGACCCGAAACCCGGUGAUCUAGCCAUGGGCAGGUUGAAGGUUGGGUAACACUAACUGGAGGACCGAACCGACUAAUGUUGAAAAAUUAGCGGAUGACUUGUGGCUGGGGGUGAAAGGCCAAUCAAACCGGGAGAUAGCUGGUUCUCCCCGAAAGCUAUUUAGGUAGCGCCUCGUGAACUCAUCUUCGGGGGUAGAGCACUGUUUCGGCUAGGGGGCCAUCCCGGCUUACCAACCCGAUGCAAACUACGAAUACCGAAGAAUGUUAUCACGGGAGACACACGGCGGGUGCUAACGUCCGUCGUGAAGAGGGAAACAACCCAGACCGCCAGCUAAGGUCCCAAAGUCAUGGUUAAGUGGGAAACGAUGUGGGAAGGCCCAGACAGCCAGGAUGUUGGCUUAGAAGCAGCCAUCAUUUAAAGAAAGCGUAAUAGCUCACUGGUCGAGUCGGCCUGCGCGGAAGAUGUAACGGGGCUAAACCAUGCACCGAAGCUGCGGCAGCGACACUAUGUGUUGUUGGGUAGGGGAGCGUUCUGUAAGCCGUUGAAGGUGGCCUGUGAGGGUUGCUGGAGGUAUCAGAAGUGCGAAUGCUGACAUAAGUAACGAUAAAGCGGGUGAAAAGCCCGCUCGCCGGAAGACCAAGGGUUCCUGUCCAACGUUAAUCGGGGCAGGGUGAGUCGACCCCUAAGGCGAGGCCGAAAGGCGUAGUCGAUGGGAAACAGGUUAAUAUUCCUGUACUUGGUGUUACUGCGAAGGGGGGACGGAGAAGGCUAUGUUAGCCGGGCGACGGUUGUCCCGGUUUAAGCAUGUAGGCGGAGGUUCCAGGUAAAUCCGGUACCUUUUAACGCUGAGGUGUGAUGACGAGGCACUACGGUGCUGAAGUAACAAAUGCCCUGCUUCCAGGAAAAGCCUCUAAGCAUCAGGUAACACGAAAUCGUACCCCAAACCGACACAGGUGGUCAGGUAGAGAAUACCAAGGCGCUUGAGAGAACUCGGGUGAAGGAACUAGGCAAAAUGGUGCCGUAACUUCGGGAGAAGGCACGCUGAUAUGUAGGUGAAGCCCCUGCGGGUGGAGCUGAAAUCAGUCGAAGAUACCAGCUGGCUGCAACUGUUUAUUAAAAACACAGCACUGUGCAAACACGAAAGUGGACGUAUACGGUGUGACGCCUGCCCGGUGCCGGAAGGUUAAUUGAUGGGGUUAGCGGCAACGCGAAGCUCUUGAUCGAAGCCCCGGUAAACGGCGGCCGUAACUAUAACGGUCCUAAGGUAGCGAAAUUCCUUGUCGGGUAAGUUCCGACCUGCACGAAUGGCGUAAUGAUGGCCAGGCUGUCUCCACCCGAGACUCAGUGAAAUUGAACUCGCUGUGAAGAUGCAGUGUACCCGCGGCAAGACGGAAAGACCCCGUGAACCUUUACUAUAGCUUGACACUGAACACUGGUCCUUGAUGUGUAGGAUAGGUGGGAGGCUUUGAAGCGUGGACGCCAGUCUGCGUGGAGCCAACCUUGAAAUACCACCCUUUAAUGGCUGGUGUUCUAACGUAGACCCGUAAUCCGGGUUGCGGACAGUGUCUGGUGGGUAGUUUGACUGGGGCGGUCUCCUCCCAAAGAGUAACGGAGGAGCACGAAGGUUAGCUAAUCCUGGUCGGACAUCAGGAGGUUAGUGCAAUGGCAUAAGCUAGCUUGACUGCGAGAGUGACGGCUCGAGCAGGUGCGAAAGCAGGUCAUAGUGAUCCGGUGGUUCUGAAUGGAAGGGCCAUCGCUCAACGGAUAAAAGGUACUCCGGGGAUAACAGGCUGAUACCGCCCAAGAGUUCAUAUCGACGGCGGUGUUUGGCACCUCGAUGUCGGCUCAUCACAUCCUGGGGCUGAAGUAGGUCCCAAGGGUAUGGCUGUUCGCCAUUUAAAGUGGUACGCGAGCUGGGUUUAGAACGUCGUGAGACAGUUCGGUCCCUAUCUGCCGUGGGCGCUGGAGAAUUGAGGGGGGCUGCUCCUAGUACGAGAGGACCGGAGUGGACGCAUCACUGGUGUUCGGGUUGUCAUGCCAAUGGCACUGCCCGGUAGCUAAAUGCGGAAGAGAUAAGUGCUGAAAGCAUCUAAGCACGAAACUUGCCCCGAGAUGAGUUCUCCCUGAGACUUAAAGUCUCCUGAAGGAACGUUGAAGACGACGACGUUGAUAGGUCGGGUGUGUAAGCGCAGCGAUGCGUUGAGCUAACCGAUACUAAUGAACCGUGAGGCUUAACCUUACAACGCCGAAGCUGUU
rnacentral:rRNA from 1 species